UUUUUUUUUUUUUUUUUUUUUUUUCAGUUGACAGACACAUGGAUUAUUCUAGAUUCUAAACACAUGGGGACAUCAUGGGGCAAAGAAAAGAGGUGUGGGCUUGCCCAGGACCGCAGAGUGGACCCAAGAAGUGCCAUGGCCAUGGGGGAGGGGCUGGUGGGAAGUUGAGAUAUUUUCCUCUACCCUCCAGUCCCUCUGGCUGGUACAAGAAUUUAAUCGAUGCAAAACGGAUUAAGAGGAGAAAAUCAAACAAAAAUUUCUCCUUGGGAGAGACCCAGGAAACCUGGGUAAUCCUCACCUUAAAGACCAUUUCCAGGAGUUCCCAUCGUGACUCAGAGGUUAACAAACCCCCCUAGCAUCCAGGAGGACGCAGGUUCGAUCCUUGGCCUCGCUCAGUGAGUUAAGGAUCCAACGUUGCCAUGAGCUGUGGCAUGGCUUUAUUGACAGAAGAGAAGCCAUUUUUGGCCAGAGCCAUUUGAGAGUCUAAGCCUGACUGCAGUGCUUGCCCUUGUACAGGUCUCAGUCAUUAAUGCUCUUAAGGGAACAAAAGAACACAGAGAUGAAAGACUGUUAUCAGGGGGGAGAAGUAAUGAGAGCAAAGAUAACAGGCCAUUGUAAAGACUCCCAGUCCUGCUUCGAUGGGGAGGAUUAGCCUGAAUCACUCAACCAGCAGAUCAACUGGGACCAAAGGGAGAAUGAUGUUGACCUCUUCUGACCCUGGUGACUUCAGUCAAGUAAAGGUCAGAUUCUGUCAGCCACCUAAACCCCAUUGUUGAGUACAUGGAGGAGUUCCCAUCGUGGCUCAGUGGAAACAAAUCCAACUAGGAACCAUGAGGGUGCAGUUUCAAUCCCUGGCCUCGCUCAGUGGGGUUAAGGAUCCAGCAUUGCCGUGAGCUCUGGUGAGAGUCACAGACGUGGCUGGGAUCCUGUGUGGCUGUGGCUGGCUGUGAAAUAGGCCGGCAUCUGUAGCUCUGACUCGACUCCCAGCCUGGGAACUCCUUAAGCCACGGGUGCAGCCCUAAAAAGACCAAAAAAAAAAAAAAAGAAAGAAAUGGAUUUAGUCUUUGUCAUUUCCAGCACAGAGCUCCUUAAACUCUCGGAAUUUCCUUAGUGAUAAGAACAAUAAAGUUGUCACUAUCUUAACCAACUCCUUUCAACCGCUCCUGGGAUUAUGUUAAUGAGGUGACUUUUGGAAAGCACCUAAGGUUGGGGCUGGUUGCCAAGGGAACCAGCCACGUGACUGGAGGGUGGAAAAUUUUGGCCCCUCCCAUUGAACCUCGGAGAAGGAGCUUGAGGCUGAAUCCAUCACCGUUGGCCAAUGAUUUUUUUUGAAUUAAAGUAUAGUUAAUUUACAAUGGUACUUCAGUUUCUGUUGUACAGUAAAGUGAUCCAAUCACACACAGUUCCCUGUGCUGUACAGUGGGACCUCAUUGCUUAUCCAUUCCAAAUGGAUACAGUUUGUAUCCACCAACCCCAAAUUCCCCGUCCAUCCCUCUCCCUUCCCCUUCCCCCUUGGCAGGCCCAAGUCUGCUCUCCCUGGCCGUGAUCUCUUUCUGUUUUGUAAAUAGGAUCAUCUGUGCCAUUUUUAGAUUCCACAUAUGUGACAUCAUAUUUGCCUUUAUAAUGGGAUCAUCUGUGCCAUUUUUAGAUUCUACAUAUAAGUGACAUCAUAUUUCUUUCUCUUUCUGUCUCACUUCACUUAAUAUGAGAAUCUCUAGUUCCAUCCACGUUGCCACAAAGGACAUUACUUUGUUCUUUUUUUAUGGCUGAGUAGUAUUUCAUUGUACAUAUGGACCAGAACUUCUUAAUCGCCGGUGAUGUAAUCAAUUGUGUCUACUCAAUGAAGCCCCAAUAAAAGCCCAAAAGGAUGGGAUUUGGAGAGCUGCCCAGCUGUAGAGCAAGAACACAACCAGGUCCCCAGGGACAGAAGCACCUGCCUUGGAGUUUCACCCUCUGUAUUUCUUCAUCUGGCCGUUUGUAACAUCCUUUAUAAUAAACUGGUAAUCUAGUGAGUAUACUGGUUCCCUGAGUUUUCUGAGCCCCUCUAGCAAAUUAAUGGAGCCCACGGCAAGGGACAUAGACAGUCAGUCAGAGCAGAGGAAGCAACCUAGACGUGAGAUUGACAUCCCCCGUGGGAAGGAGUGGGGUGGCCUUGUGGGACUGAGCCCACAACCUGUGCGAUCUGGUGCUGCCUCCAGGUAGACGGAGUUGAACUACAGGAUGCCCCAAUGGAGAACUGGUGUUACGACUGUGGAACCCAACAUCCACAGAAUGAAGCGAUUUGUAGUUGUACCGAAGCACGAAAUCUGAAUCUCCUGUGAGGACGUCUAAGAGUGGACCAGGCAGCUGGUGAGGGAGGUUGGGACGUGCUCUGCAAAGGCUGCACUGCUGAGUAAGAUGGACCUGAGUUCCAAUUUUGUCUCUGACGCUGAGACCUUGGGCAAGGCGCUCAACCUCUGAACUCUUGGCUCUCCCCUGUAAAAUGAGGGGUGAUCAUACCUUGCGGGGUUGCUGUGGGCACAUAGACGGGCUCCAUUAAUGAUGGCUCAACUGGACAUAGUGUUGCUGUUCUGAUGGGCACCUAGGGAGAGUGCGAGAGGUACGAAUGAGGAAUCCCAGCCCGGGGUCAUGACCCAGCACUGGAGGCAGGCUGCUAGGAGACAGGUUGGAAUCGUGGGUGGGCAAAGA
rnacentral:lncRNA from 1 species